rnacentral:rRNA from 1 species
UACGUAGGCAGCAAGCGUUGUUCGGAAUUACUGGGCGUAAAGAGUGUGUAGGCGGUGCUCUAAGUUCGGUGUGAAAUCUCCCGCUUAACUGGGAGGGUGCGCCGGAAACUGGAGUGCUCGAGCGUGGGAGAGGAAAGCGGAAUUCCUGGUGUAGUGGUGAAAUGCGUAGAUAUCGGGAGGAACACCAGUGGCGAAGGCGGCUUCCUGGCCUGUUCUUGACGCUG